rnacentral:rRNA from 1 species
UACGUAGGUCCCGAGCGUUGUCCGGAUUUAUUGGGCGUAAAGCGAGCGCAGGUGGUUUAUUAAGUCUGGUGUAAAAGGCAGUGGCUCAACCACUGUAUGCAUUGGAAACUGGUAGUCUUGAGUGCAGGAGAGGAGAGUGGAAUUCCAUGUGUAGCGGUGAAAUGCGUAGAUAUAUGGAGGAACACCGGUGGCGAAAGCGGCUCUCUGGCCUGUAACUGACACUGAGGCUCGAAAGCGUGGGGAGCAAACAGG